ensembl:lncRNA
GGGGCGCAGUGCAAUAUCUGAAGGGCGAUUUAUUUCUCUGACAGUUCUGGAGCUGAGAGCUCUGCCGCGGGCGCUGAGUCCCCAGCCAUGGGUGGUGGCCCCACACUCCCACCCCCAGUGCUGAGAAAUGCCAAAGCCCCGCACGCCCCGCAGCGAUACGGAGAGGCCGCGCUAAUUAAUUGCGGAGAGCUCAUAUCACAGCCCUACUGGAACUGUCGGUGCUGAAUCCAUUCGUCAUGAUCCAGGAGGGGGGAAGAGACCUCGAGUCAUGCUGUCGUUCUCAGCUCAUGGAAGCGAUUUGCUUUGCGUGAGAGUGCCGGGGAUGAAAGAUGCGUUUGGGAACCACCUCGGCUCACAGAGGUCCCCCCCUGCUUUGCACACUGUCUGCCAGCCCUGCACCCUGCUGGGACACGGGGGGUGCUGGGUGUGAGAGCCCCGUCCCACUCUGUUCUGCUGAUCCUCUCCCUCUGCACUGUGCUUUUGUUUCUCACCUCCUACCCCCCACACCCCCAGACCUUAAUUGGCAGAGCACAGUAAAUCAGAGCUGACAGUGGUUGAAUAGCAGCUGAUUAAAAUCAUUUGUUUUCCAGCUCGGCCAGCUGCAGACUCUUGCCUGCAUGACUCUUGUGGCAUUCCCUGCAUUGCUCGCUCUCCCUCCUUCCUUUUGAAGGAAUCACAUCGCAUUUUUCCAAUUCCUUGUGGAUGAGGUGCUCUGAUUGCCCCCUACACCACCGCCAGCCCACUCCCAUGAGUGCAGCCCCAUGCAGCCCACAGCCACGUGGGAGCUCCCACAGGGCUGUGCAGUGCUCUCUGCUUUCAUUGCACGGCCACAUCUGCUUUGGGUUUGUUUGUGCUUGUUUGGCUUGUUUUUUCCCAACAGCAAAGCUGGGAGGGAGGGAAAAGCAUUUAAUUUCUAAUCCCACGUACCCGAAUCGCAGAACAGUGAGAAAAGAUUUGGGAAGGAGCUGCCAAGGAAGGAAGGACCGGCACUGAGCGGGUGCAUUGCAGGGAAGUGCAUUCCCAUCCCAAAAGCGGGGCCACCGCCAGCCCCGAAAAAUGCACUCUGGCCACAAGUGCCAUUCCCUGGUCUCCAGCAUCUGCUGCCAUAUGCAUCGAAUUAAAACCAAAUGCAAACUAUAAAUCUCCCUGCCAUUCCUCGGAAAGGUUUCACAUGACAACCGCAUUCCUGUGACACUUUCCAUCUUAUGUUUUACCGCACGGGCUAACAGCUGUUUCCAAAACAAACGCCGGUGAUGAGCAGACAGAAUCGCGGCCGCUGGGACAAAGUCGCUGUUGUUGCGCCGGGGCUGCGCCCAUUCAACUCCAUGGGCUCAAAGCACAUGCAGGGAGCUCAGAUCCAGGUCUGCGAUGGGAUUCUUUCAUGCAAACAUUAUUUUUGUGCACAAACACAUCACGAAGCCAAGAUCGCCUCAAGUGUGUAACGUGCCCUACAGAACGGGCCUAAUCCUGCCUUCAGCUUCCCAGUGCUGUGAAGCCCACCUGGGUGACGUUCACCUUCCCGGCACUCAGAUGGGCAGCACCAGUUCCGAAAGCAAUGGCCUCGCUGGGAGGAUGUUUACCUUCCCAAGCCUCCUUCUCCUUACAUUUAAACAAAAACGUUUCCUUUUCUAAACAGUUUACAUUUCUGAUUCCAGAGGUAUCCUGCUUGCCAAAACCACCAGUAUUUGUCUCACUUUAAAUGCAUUUAUAUGCUAAUGCAGACAGUCCCUCCUGCUUGCACACGUACCACACACAACUCUAUAGAAAUUACUCUUUUCCUGCUAGAUUUACAAAGUGUGGCCAUCAAACCUCCUUAUGAUUCAUCUGCAUUGACUGCAGCCCUGCAGUGCUGAUGGGGCUGUGAUGCGGUGGUGAAGCACAGCUCUGGGUGACCCACUGGAGAUGUGGAGCGAUGUGGAUGCUGCAUUUGGAGGAGGAGAAGGGGGAGGAAGGAGACAUAACAGCAGGGAUACGGUUCUGGGAUGGCUGGACAGCAGCACUCCCAUUUAUGUCACCUUUGGGAUCAUCAUUUAUCUUUCCUUAUCCCCCACCGCUAUCGCCCCAUGCCAACAUGUCUGUCUGUUUAUGCCUCUUCUUGAAAACUAUGAAGAGAUUUUGCUUUUAGAAUCCUCAAAUCUUUCAUUCUGAUGGUCCUGUUCUGCAUUAAGGUCAUAUUGUAAUUGAUACAGCAGAAGAAGAUGAAUUGUUUGGGUUGCAGCGCACGGACAGACGUUGGCUUUCUGUCUAAGUUUGGGACAAUCAUUCUCACGAGGAACCUCAGAACUUCUCACACAAUGGAAACUUCAUUUUCCAGCCAACCCCAAUGGUAAUGCCAUUGCACCACUAUUAGUCUUGAAAGGACGCUUAGAGAAACUCGGAUUACUCACUAAGAUCUAAAGAACAAUGCCAUUCUUAAACCACCUUUCUUCCUUUCAAGUUUUCAGGGCUGAAAGCUGACACUGGGAGGGGGAGAACUCUGACUCAUAGCAGGCAGGUCGGACGGCGUGCCAGAUCAGCCAGGGCCCAGCAAAGCUCCGCGUUAUGCUGGAAAAUAACGAUGGAAAAUUCAUUUAAGAAUCGUGUAUGGCUUUGCCGGGGUGGAGGAGGGAAGGGGCAAAUUUAAUUCAGGCCCAGAACUCCCCUCAAACGGAUGCUGGAUGUAAACUUUAGCUGCGUUUCUGUCAGCCUUAAUGGAUUUCACUUAUGGGAACUAUAAUAAACAGCUCAUUAUGGAGUCAGCUGCGGGAGCGUUUUGAGCCCAACAGGGUCAUUUGUUUUCCAAGGCAGAUUUAGUCUAAAGGGGGUGGACAGAAUAAUCCCGCGUUCAAAGUGUCUGCAUUAGUGCUGGAGGAGCGGUGACAAAGUGGCCUUGGGUCCAAAGCAAUGGCUGCUCUUUGCCCGAGCACGGCAAGAGCGCGGGGACAUCCCGGUGCUCACCAAGCACAGCUCAGGGAACAGCCAUUGCUUCUUCAAAUGUUCCUGUUAACAGCACUUAAAAAAAAACCCAUAAAUUCAGCCCAGAAACCAUCCUGGCUAAUAACGCCGAGGCUGGAACUUGUAAAUGCCAUCGCAGCUGCAGCUGUUGUUGUUGUGAGCACUUUGAAAGCCGCUGCUUUCUUUGCUGGAAUAAUGAUCUGCACUGUGUGAUGACCCUCGAAACGUAACAGUGCUGAGAGAUAACAGAGGAGCUGGGUGCUCGGGGAAAACAAUUUGCUGUGAGAAAAACAGCCUGAGUCUUCAUUACAUUGGCUCUGAGUCCUAUUCCUGAAGAAGCUGUUGAUGCUCUGCGCUCUUUUGAGGUUGGCCUCAUCAUUUCUCGUCCCUUCAUUACGAUGCCAUUUGUUAAGCCCGUGACUGCUGAGGAGGCAGUGGGAUGGAUGCGGGUCACAGCAUGGUUACAGCAUCCCCAUGGUGCUCGUGGGGUCUGCAGGAGGACUGGAGGAGCAGAACCAGGGCCGGGGCUGCGUUUUAUGAAACACCUGCAAUGGAAAACACGAGCACAGACCCGUGGGGCCAUCCCUGAGGACACGGCCCCGCACCGCAGUUGGGGGCUCUGUGCCACGCUCCGUGCCGCCGUGCCCAGCGAGUUCUCCUGGUCAGCAUUAAUAACGGCGGAUCAAUUACAGCAGGCAACCGGG